CAGUAGCCACGGUAAUACGAAGGGUGCAAGCGUUAAUCGGAAUUACUGGGCGUAAAGGGUGCGUAGGCGGUUGUUUAAGUCUGUUGUGAAAUCCCCGGGCUCAACCUGGGAAUGGCAAUGGAAACUGGACGGCUAGAGUGUGUCAGAGGAUGGUGGAAUUCCCGGUGUAGCGGUGAAAUGCGUAGAGAUCUGGAGGAGUACCGGUGGCGAAGGCGGCCCCCUGGACAAAGACUGACGCUCAGGUGCGAAAGCGUGGGGAGCAAACAGGAUUAGAUACCCCCGUAGUCCCUGUCUCUUAUAC
rnacentral:rRNA from 1 species